rnacentral:rRNA from 1 species
GAUGAACGCCGGCGGUGUGCCUAAUACAUGCAAGUCGUACGCACUGGCCCAACUGAUUGAUGGUGCUUGCACCUGAUUGACGAUGGAUCACCAGUGAGUGGCGGACGGGUGAGUAACACGUAGGCAACCUGCCCCGGAGCGGGGGAUAACAUUUGGAAACAGAUGCUAAUACCGCAUAACAACAAAAGUCACAUGGCUUUUGUUUGAAAGAUGGCUUUGGCUAUCACUCUGGGAUGGACCUGCGGUGCAUUAGCUAGUUGGUAAGGUAACGGCUUACCAAGGCGAUGAUGCAUAGCCGAGUUGAGAGACUGAUCGGCCACAAUGGAACUGAGACACGGUCCAUACUCCUACGGGAGGCAGCAGUAGGGAAUCUUCCACAAUGGGCGCAAGCCUGAUGGAGCAACACCGCGUGAGUGAAGAAGGGUUUCGGCUCGUAAAGCUCUGUUGUUGGAGAAGAACGUGCGUGAGAGUAACUGUUCACGCAGUGACGGUAUCCAACCAGAAAGUCACGGCUAACUACGUGCCAGCAGCCGCGGUAAUACGUAGGUGGCAAGCGUUAUCCGGAUUUAUUGGGCGUAAAGCGAGCGCAGGCGGUUGCUUAGGUCUGAUGUGAAAGCCUUCGG